rnacentral:rRNA from 1 species
GACGUAGGGCGCGAGCGUUGUCCGGAUUUCUUGGGCGUAAAGAGCUCGUAGGCGGCUUGUCGCGUCGAAUGUGAAAACCCACGGCUCAACUGUGGGCUUGCAUUCGAUACGGGCAGGCUAGAGUUCGGUAGGGGAGACUGGAAUUCCUGGUGUAGCGGUGAAAUGCGCAGAUAUCAGGAAGAACACCCGUGGCUAAGGCGGCUCUCUAGUACGGUACUGACGCUGAGACGCGAAAGCGUGGGGAGCGAACAGG